ACGGCCAUACCACGCUGAAAACACCAGUUCUCGUUUGAUCACCGAAGUUAAGCAAUGUCUGGCCUGGUCAGUAGUUGGGGGGGGUGACCAUCUAGAAACACCGAAUGCAGCUAUAGGCU